rnacentral:rRNA from 1 species
AACGAACGCUGGCGGCAGGCUUAACACAUGCAAGUCGAACGCCCCGCAAGGGGAGUGGCAGACGGGUGAGUAACGCGUGGGAACAUACCCUUUUCUACGGAAUAGCUCUGGGAAACUGGAAUUAAUACCGUAUACGCCCUACGGGGGAAAGAUUUAUCGGGGAAGGAUUGGCCCGCGUUGGAUUAGCUAGUUGGUGGGGUAAAGGCCUACCAAGGCGACGAUCCAUAGCUGGUCUGAGAGGAUGAUCAGCCACAUUGGGGCUGAGACACGGCCCAAACUCCUACGGGAGGCAGCAGUGGGGAAUAUUGGACAAUGGGCGCAAGCCUGAUCCAGCCAUGCCGCGUGAGUGAUGAAGGCCUUAGGGUUGUAAAGCUCUUUCACCGAUGAAGAUAAUGACGGUAGUCGGAGAAGAAGCCCCGGCUAACUUCGUG